ensembl:lncRNA
UUGUAUUUAUAUUUUUCAAUAUUAAUACAAUUAUUAUGCUGAUUACACCAAAAUGGAUAAAUCCGCAUCGCCCAAAUCUGAAAAGUCCUAAUUCAGAAUUAAUGUACAAGAACGUUAUAUUAGCAAACCAGUAGGUUAGCUGAAUGGGCAACAACACUGCAAACAGUAAAUUUACAUUUAUGCAUUUGGCAGAUUCUUUUGAUCAAAGCAACUUACAGUGCAUUCAAGAUAUAUAUAUAUAUAUAUAUAUAUAUAUAUAAAGGUAAAGGUGGCUUGACUUGACUCUUUCUCUACUGGACCAACCCCAGGAACAGGAACAUUUGAUAAAUGUGAAAAUCAUUGUUUUUUUUAGUAUUUUAGUGAUAAAACCGAAAGUACAUUUCAUAAUAAUCUUAUGUUUUAUGAUAAUGAUUGUGAAAAAGGUCAGUUUGGAGUUUUGUAGGCCUACUAUGUUUGUAAAUGUACCACUUGUGAAAAACUAAAACCGUGACGAGCAUCCUAAAACAGGCCCAUUCUGAAUCAUUCGCGCAUUAGUGACUCUUUUGAGUCUGUUCUUUUCAGUGAAUCAGCCAAAUGGUUACGCAAAGCCUGCAGUCUGAAUUAGGGAUACUUCAGAACACAGAAGAUAAAGAGGACAUUUACCUACCAUCAGCAGAAAUAAAAAGUACCAUGAAAGGACCGCUGUUACUGCAUUUACUUUUCCUAGGUACAGUGUCUGUUUUUAUGUUUUUUGGAGUGUGAGACUCUGUCACAAUAUAUGUUUACAUACUUAGCAAUACAAUAGUUAAUAUUUCCAAAAUGCAGUGUCAUCAGAAUAAACCAAAGAUUAUAGAAUACCUUAAAUGGACU